CUGGAGAAAGGCAGCGACGUGAGGAUUCUUGGGAGUGGGCUUUCAAGAAACAGGGACUUAAAGAUUCUAACCCUGAUGUGAUUUCCCAGCUGGAGCCAGGGGGAACAGCUAUGGGCUUUGAAUCUGCAGGAAACUAAAGAAAAAGAUGAUUCCCAUAGAGAUUCCUACACAGAUUCAGAAAGAACUGAGAAUAAGCAGUUAUAUGAAAGAGGGGAAGAUUUCAGAAGAGUAGAGUCAAAUGGAGAAACACUGUAAAUAAUCCUAAACAAUUUCCCUAAGGAACAUAGAUUUGGAGAAUAUUUUGAAUAUGAGAGAAGUUUAAACAUUUAUCAAUAGAGAAACUCUACAGCAUUGACUUUUAGGAAAUCCUUUUUCCUCAAAAAAUUAAUUAAGCCAUGAUGACUCACAAGAAUGCCAUUAUAGAAGAUGUCAC
rnacentral:lncRNA from 1 species